UGCCAGCAGCCGCGGUAAUACCGGCAGCCCGAGUGAUGGCCGCGAUUAUUGGGCCUAAAGCGUUCGUAGCCUGCCGGACAAGUCCGUUGGGAAAUCCACGCGCUCAACGCGUGGGCGUCCAGCGGAAACUGUCCGGCUUGGGGCCGGAAGACUCGAGGGGUACGUCUGGGUAGGAGUGAAAUCCCGUAAUCCUGGACGGACCGCCGGUAGCGAAAGCGCCUCGAGAGGACGGACCCGACGGUGAGGGACGAAAGCCAGGGUCUCGAACCGGAUUAGAUA
rnacentral:rRNA from 1 species